rnacentral:lncRNA from 1 species
CCCUCCCUCUUUCUUUGCACAACCAAAAGUCAUGAAAAAACCAGAAAUAUACCAAUGACAGUCUCAAGCCAGCUCCUUUCUUCACUAGUGGAACAAAUCCCCCUCAAUUCAGCACGUUCUCAAGUUUUAGUUCCAUGUAGAUGAUUCCUAGUAUGUGGAGGUAUUCCAAACCACCAGAACUUCCGCAGCAUAAAACAUGGAAAUAGAGGUCCUAGUUAAAUUUGAUUUGACUUUUUUUUUUAAAAAUAAAAAAUCAAAUAAAAAGAAAAUUAUGCAAUUCAAUAUCUGAGAAAAAUGGAGGAAUAUUCAAAAUUUUCUAUCUUGGCUCCGUGGGCCUUCUGAUUCACGCUAGAGCCUUUCUUGUCUAUGAAUUUCAUGGCCUAAAAGAACAAGGAAGGCGAAGGCUUGCAAUCCUGAUAGGCGGGACUGGAAUCGAUGUGAAAGGGGGUGGUGGUGGGGCCGCUGGUUUGUUGGGUAGGGAAGAGGUUGGGUUUUUUUUAAGGUUUUCCUUGUGAUCCCGAUGGGUAGGACUGGAACCCAUGCCUAUGAAGGUGCAGAGGUAGAUAGUGUCAAUGUCGCCGACGCUGAUGCGGAGGAGGAAAGUGGCUAGGGUUGGAGUGAUAGGGGGUGGGGGUGGUGAAGGCGCUGGGUCAUACCUGACCCACUCUCUAUUUCUCUAUUUCUCUUCCUCCCUCUCCCCCUCUCUUCGUCAUUCCCAUCCUCCUCCCUCUAUUUCUCUCUUUUGUGGCUCAGUUUGAUUGGAUUGGACAAAUUAGGUUUUUUAGGUUCGGGUAAUUAUGGAUUUGGAGCAACAACUUAUAGGGCUAGUGAGUUAUUUGGUUCUGAUUGUGAGGUUGAUCUUGUUUUGGAUGUUUGA